rnacentral:lncRNA from 1 species
ACGAAUUUCUUGUAGUUCAGAUUCAAGCUGAGAUACUUUUUGCAUAUUAUCGUCUCUUCCUUUGGAUGACAAACUGAAGAUACAAAGAUGUGGAUUGAUUAGAUUACAAUAGUAAGUUGAUCAUACAUACUUUUAGUCGAUAAUGCAGAUAAGUAUUUCUGAAUCUACAGAAUAAAACAAGCACAUAGAGGAGAUUUCCUUGACCAAUAUAUAUACUUCUCAGAGGCGAAGCUACAAUUUUUGAGUUAUAAGUUGUAGAUUCUACAAAAGGUAGCUUAUUGGGUUCUGGAUAAACUAUUUAUACAUAUUAAUGGAUUUUAAACAAAAAUACAAGUCUGGGCCAAAGGUUAUUGGGUUCUGGUUAACACGUAAGCAGAACUGUAGCUCCGUCCAUGAUUUUCUUAUUCUAUCCUUAGAAAGGUAUCGUUAAGGAUUGUCAACUCAAGUGGUAGUUAAACCAGUUUCCAGUUGAUAAAGCCGAUUUGUCAGCUAUAAUUGGUUAACAGUUUUCGAAAGAAUGGUCAGACUAGAUGGAUUUUACCAGUAGCAGAGUAAGAUCAUAAGACAUAAACAUCAUGAGAAACACAAACAAAGCUCAGGAAACAAAACAAUUAUUUUUUAUAUUGGCUUACCUAAUUAGAUGGGAUUCAUCAUGGAUAUAAUUGCUGUCUAAAGUCUGAGCUACUGUAUCGCCCGGAAAUUGGUUCGCUGAUACACUUUUGGCAAGAGUCCCUUGAAAAUCUCUGUAGUAAUUGCUUUCUUUGUUUCCAUCCUAGAUAGAUAUGGGGGAAUGUCAUGAGGUUAAUAAAGAUAAGGAAAUUAUAUUAAUUUUAUUUUCCCUGAAAUGGAAGUAAUCAGUAAAUAUUACACACUGAGGAACACAAAGAAAUGAAGAUAGUUUUAGUACGACGUACCAGUUGAAAGUUGCCUUGAAUCUUCUGAACUUUCAAGUAUUUCUCUGAUUGAAGAGAUUGAGUAAUUAUCUCAUGCUGAUGCUUGCUGAAGUUCUCUUCCUCUACCUGUUUUUUCAGAAAACUAAACAAAAAUCAGAUUCAUCGCCUACUGUAUCAUUGAUUACAAGCUAUAUAUAAGAGAAGUGGCAUGGUUGACCUCUGAAAACUUCAGCUCAUCUAGAGUAGGAAUGGUAUCAUCAUCCUCUCUUUGGUUGUCUGGUCGUUUUUUCGACAAUUUUUCCUCGAGGGAUGUGACUUGCUUCAAGCAGUUCUCUUUCUCGAAUUGAAGGGAUUUUAUUUGCCACAGAAGUUGGCUAUUUGCUCUUCUAAGCUGGCAAAGCUCAUUUUUCAGCUCGGAAACUUUGGUACACAUUACUUCUUUUGCAGUUAAGUCUCCUUCCAGCCUCAGAACUUUCUCCUCUAGUGCAAUUGUCUUGUAUUUGCAUUUUUCUGCUUCCGCCACUUCCUUCUGCAUGCAGGUGAUUUCCUGAAGUAAUGAUGCCUUCUCUUCCUUCAACUCUUCACAAUCUCCAUAUUUCAACAACAGUGUAACUUGUGUUCUCUCACUUUCAAACUUCAUCCCAGAUAGUGCUUCUUUAAGAUACAAAACUUCCUCCUGAAGUAAUGGUAAUGUAUGCAGUUGAAUCUUUAGGCUAGAAUUCUCUUCAGUCAUUUGCAGCAUUUGACAUUCAGAAGACAGUAGUUUUGACUCAAGCUCAUUAAUGGUGCAUUUAAGCUUUGCUUCACUGGAUACAAGAUGUUCCAUCAUCCUCAGUAGCUUAUCACAAUUAGCUGCCAAAGUUCCCUCCUUGGCUUUGGAAGUACCAAGUUCACUCAUAAGAUCUGACAUCUCUACCAUCAGGGAUUGUACCUGUUCUUGCAACUUUUCGACUUCAACUGUGUUCUCCGGAGACAUUUCACGCAGAGUGCACCCUUCUACAAGAAAUUUUUCUCCAUGCUCUUUAGUCUGUAGGUGGAGAUCGUCAAGUUUGAACUUAAGGAUCUUCUCUUUUGAUUCAAUCUCUUCCAUCACUGAAGAAAAGUUAGCUUCUAAAGACUCUAUCCUUUUCAAACAGGUGGAGAAAGAAUGCUGAGAUUUCCUCAAUUCUGCUUCCAAAACAUUAUGGCUCACAUGUAAUUUUAAUUUUUGUUGCCUUAGUUCUGCAUUCAAGUUUUGAAGCAAACAACACUCUUCCAUAAGACUUUCUGUUGUUGCUUGGAGCUUUGGAUUUACUUUCUUCAGAUACUCGCACUCUUCUUGAGCAUCUAACCAUCGCUUUUGCAUCUCCAUCAACUGUUCUUUCAUAUCGAGCUUUUGUGACUCCUUUUGAUGUUCUAAUUUUCUAAUCUUGCUCUCAAGGCUCACAACACGAUUACCAGAAUGCUGCAGUUCCAAACGAUUGAAUUCCAUUGCAUCAGUCAAAUGCCUUAGUUGAGCUUCCAAUCCUGAUACUCGUUCUGACAGAUCUACAUUUUCUUUUUCUAAUUCAUGCAAAUUAAGUUCUAACUCAUACUUAUCACUCUCUAGCUCUAAUGAUUUCAUUUCGUACGUCAUUUUAGAGACUCCUCCACAAAUACAUUGAUCAAGAAACAUCAAACCAUUUGCGGAAGUGUCUAAAGAAUUGGAGGUGGCACUAAGUUCUUGUUGCAUGUUUUCUAUUCUCUCCUCCAUCAGACAUUUACUCAUCUGGAGAUCAGAGAUUUGAGUACUCAAAUCAGUCUGCUGAUGCCUUAGCGCUUCGAUCUUUACAUCCUUUUUCAAACAUUUUGUCUUCAGCUCCAGUAUCUCCGAGUUCUUAGCUAAACUAUCACUACUUAAAUUUUGAAUCUUGCCCUCUAGCACCUUAUUUAAAUCCUCAAGCCUUUCACAGCAAGAACAAGGAGUAUUUUCCUUUGGAAGGUCAUCCUUUUCCUCAUCUUGAACUUCACAUGCAUCCUUUAAUGUUGUUUUGGGUUCAUCCUCGAUAUGUUGACUACCAUCAAGAUAUAGAGCCAACCUGUACCUCAAUAACUGGAAAUUUUUCAACACUGCAUUAGCUUGCUCGUCCUUAGCGGGAUGACCUGUACAUUCACAAAAAUCUAAAUUACAUAUAGCAUUUUAAAACUCAGUGUUUAUAAGUGAAAGGAGGACAUUUUGUCUUGUACCCUGUUGCACAAGAAACAUGCUAGAUACUUACAUAAUGUGUUGAGUAGGGUAUAGAUAUCUUCAAUAUGUCCUGACUCGGAACUCUGAAAUAUUAUGGGUACAUUUUUAUGAGUGAAACGAUCUUGACAAUCUCCUUCCUGCUGACAUUCAGAUGGCAUUGCAGCAACCUCAGUUCUCUGAUCUUGUUCUUGUACUUCAACGCAACAUGAGUUGAUUUCAGCAUUUGGCCUCAAAGCAUUGUCCCUAACUAGUGAGUGAAACUCCAGAGCUAAGUUUUCUUCCUGAUCACAGGUUUUCUGCUUACUUUCAGAACCCUUUGAUUUCAGUUUGUACAGAAGUUCCAGGUUUUCUUCGGUCAGCUCCUUGCAAUCUCUCUCAAGUUCCUGGAGUCUUUCCUUGAGAGUCUCAUUUUCCUUGAUCAGAUCACAGUCAGCUUCAGCUUUGAUCUCACUUGUCUUGGAGUCCUCGGCACUUAAAAGUCUGGAUAACUCUGCCUUCAAAUAAGUAAUUUCCUCUUCUUGUUCUCUUGACCUAUUUUUCCAUUUUUCUUCACAAUCUAUAAGAGCCUGAGUCCUGUGAUCUCGUUCAAGUUCAAUCUCAUGAGUUUUCUCCCUGAUGAUUUUCUCCAGAUGGAGAGUGGUGUUUUCCAGAUUUUUCUGUGAUUCUUGCAACUGUUGAAGCUUGUCCUCUAGGUUCUGUUGGUUCUCAGAAUUCGACUUUACUUCUAAAAGGUUCUUAAUCUCCAAUUUCUGCUUUUCAACAGUUUCUUCCAUCUCCUGCAGAAUAGAGACUAGUUGAAUAUUUGAUUCUUGAGUUUUACUUAGCUGGAAAGACAUAUCGUCAUUUGAUUCUUUUUGAAUCCUAAGUUCCUCUUUUAAAAUCUUUUCAACACUAUCCUUAUCUCUGACUCGGAGCAUUAAACUCUCAGUUGAUUUUUCCUUUUCCAUGGAUUCUUGUAAAAGGAUCUCAAGGUGUCUGAUUUCUUGCAUCGAUCCAUCACGUUCUGUACCCAAUGAACAAAGCUCCAUCUUAAGGUUUUCUAUCUGCUGUGACUGGUCAGCAAACUCCUUCCUUGACAUUUCCAAGUCAGUCUUUAAGCUUUGAGCAUUUUGUUCCCACAUCAUGGCCUCUGCAAUUAGUUCUUUACUGAUAGUAUCUUUGGCUUGUAAGGAGUUUCUAGAGGAAGCAGAAAGUUGCACUGAUGCGGUGUUAUCAUGUGAGAACUGUUUGAAAUCAUCUUUUUGAUUUUGAGCAUUCUUUCCUGAUCCUGAGAUCAUUAAAUUAUAGGGAGAGUUGUACGAUUUGGGUGAUUCACAAAAAGAGUAAGAACCACAGGAUGCACUACUCCUGGAAUCAAUUGAUUCUUGUCUACCAAUUAUGAGGUUACCAUGCCUAUUUGAGUCACUUUGGGAUGAAAAGCUUUCUCUGCCCAAUGAAUCCUCUGUAGAGGCAAAGCUAUGAUAUGAACUCAGCCGUGGGAGGCUUCUUUCCUGUUGGGAAAGCAUAAUCUAGCUUAAAUUCUAGAGGAAGCUAGAGAAGAUAAAGUAACAAAAUAAAUGCACCAUUGAUACUAGUAAAAUAAGAUCUCUAAGAGAAGACAUGCGUUGAUAAUAAUGAGAAAUAUACUUCAACUUCCGAUAUUUGAGCGUAUAUAUGCAUCCGGUGAUUUCAGUUAUUCAAGUUGUUUGGUCUAUAUCUAUGAUUUUAUAGUUACUUGGCUUUCUUGUAAUGUCCCUUAAUUUUAAAAAUUUGCAGUUUGUAUGUCUGUCUGUGUCCAUGUCCCACGCCAUGUCUAAACUACUAAAGCUGCAUUCAAGAAUGAGAUCCAGGCAAUAUUGCAGCCACUUUCC